rnacentral:rRNA from 1 species
AACGAACGCUGGCGGCAUGCCUAACACAUGCAAGUCGAACGAGACCUUCGGGUCUAGUGGCGCACGGGUGCGUAACGCGUGGGAACCUGCCCUUAGGUUCGGAAUAACUCCCCGAAAGGGGUGCUAAUACCGGAUAAUGUCUUCGGACCAAAGAUUUAUCGCCUUUGGAUGGGCCCGCGUUGGAUUAGCUAGUUGGUAGGGUAAAAGCCUACCAAGGCGACGAUCCUUAGCUGGUCUGAGAGGAUGAUCAGCCACACUGGGACUGAGACACGGCCCAGACUCCUACGGGAGGCAGCAGUGGGGAAUAUUGGACAAUGGGCGAAAGCCUGAUCCAGCAAUGCCGCGUGAGUGAUGAAGGCCUUAGGGUUGUAAAGCUCUUUUAACCGGGAUGAUAAUGACAGUACCGGGAGAAUAAGCUCCGGCUAACUCCGUG